ACCGCCCUCUUUCUUCAUUCCUAACACAUGCAAGUCGAACGAGACCUUCGGGUCUAGUGGCGCACGGGUGCGUAACGCGUGGGAACCUGCCCUUAGGUUCGGAAUAACUCCCCGAAAGGGGUGCUAAUACCGGAUAAUGUCUUAGGACCAAAGAUUUAUCGCCUUUGGAUGGGCCCGCGUUGGAUUAGCUAGUUGGUAGGGUACAAGCCUACCAAGGCGACGAUCCAUAGCUGGUCUGAGAGGAUGAUCAGCCACACUGGGACUGAGACACGGCCCAGACUCCUACGGGAGGCAGCAGUAGGGAAUAUUGUACAAUGGGCGAAAACCUGAUACAGCAAUGCCGCGUGAGUGAUGAAGGCCUUAGGGUUGUAAAGCUCUUUUACCCGGGAUGAUAAUGACAGUACCGGGAGAAUAAGCACCGGCUAACUCCGUG
rnacentral:rRNA from 1 species